rnacentral:rRNA from 1 species
GACGAAGGUGGCGAGCGUUAUUCGGAUUUACUGGGCAUAAAGAGCACGUAGGCGGCUCUUCAAGUCGGGGGUGAAAGCCCGCAGCUCAACUGCGGAAUUGCCUUCGAUACUGUCGAGCUUGAGUGCAGGAGGGGUGAUUGGAACUCCAGGUGUAGCGGUGAAAUGCGUAGAUAUCUGGAGGAACACCAGAGGCGAAGGCGAAUCACUGGACUGCAACUGACGCUGAGGUGCGAAAGCUAGGGGAGCAAACAGG